AGAGUUUGAUCCUGGCUCAGGACGAACGCUGGCGGCGCGCCUAACACAUGCAAGUCGAACGGAGCUGAGAGGAGCUUGCUUUUCUUAGCUUAGUGGCGAACGGGUGAGUAACGCGUGAGUAACCUGCCCUGGAGUGGGGGACAACAGUUGGAAACGACUGCUAAUACCGCAUAAGCCCACGAUCCGGCAUCGGAUUGAGGGAAAAGGAUUUAUUCGCUUCAGGAUGGACUCGCGUCCAAUUAGCUAGUUGGUGAGGUAACGGCCCACCAAGGCGACGAUUGGUAGCCGGACUGAGAGGUUGAACGGCCACAUUGGGACUGAGACACGGCCCAGACUCCUACGGGAGGCAGCAGUGGGGGAUAUUGCACAAUGGGGGAAACCCUGAUGCAGCGACGCCGCGUGGAGGAAGAAGGUUUUCGGAUUGUAAACUCCUGUCGUUAGGGACGAUAAUGACGGUACCUAACAAGAAAGCACCGGCUAACUACGUGCCAGCAGCCGCGGUAAAACGUAGGGUGCAAGCGUUGUCCGGAAUUACUGGGUGUAAAGGGAGCGCAGGCGGGAAGACAAGUUGGAAGUGAAAACCAUGGGCUCAACCCAUGAAUUGCUUUCAAAACUGUUUUUCUUGAGUAGUGCAGAGGUAGAUGGAAUUCCCGGUGUAGCGGUGGAAUGCGUAGAUAUCGGGAGGAACACCAGUGGCGAAGGCGACCUACUGGGCACCAACUGACGCUGAGGCUCGAAAGCAUGGGUAGCAAACAGGAUUAGAUACCCUGGUAGUCCAUGCCGUAAACGAUGAUUACUAGGUGUUGGAGGAUUGACCCCUUCAGUGCCGCAGUUAACACAAUAAGUAAUCCACCUGGGGAGUACGACCGCAAGGUUGAAACUCAAAGGAAUUGACGGGGGCCCGCACAA
rnacentral:rRNA from 1 species